AUAUUGGUCAAUGGACGAGAGUCUGAACCAGCCAAGUCGCGUGAGGGAAGACUGCCCUAUGGGUUGUAAACCUCUUUUAUAAGGGAAGAAUAAGUUCUACGUGUAGAAUGAUGCCUGUACCUUAUGAAUAAGCAUCGGCUAACUCCGUGCCAGCAGCCGCGGUAAUACGGAGGAUGCGAGCGUUAUCCGGAUUUAUUGGGUUUAAAGGGUGCGUAGGCGGUUUAUUAAGUUAGUGGUUAAAUAUUUGAGCUAAACUCAAUUGUGCCAUUGAUACUGGUAAACUUGAGUACAGACGAGGUAGGCGGAAUAAGUUGAGUAGCGGUGAAAUGCUUAGAUAUCACGAAGAACUCCGAUUGCGAAGGCAGCUUACUAGACUGUAACUGACGCUGAUGCACGAGAGCGUGGGUAGCGAACAGGAUUAGAUACCCUGGUAGUCCACGCCGUAAACGAUGCUCACUGGUUCUGUGCGAUAUAUUGUACGGGAUUAAGCGAAAGUAUUAAGUGAGCCACCUGGGGAGUACGCCGGCAACGGUGAAACUCAAAGGAAUUGACGGGGGCCCGCACAAGCGGAGGAACAUGUGGUUUAAUUCGAUGAUACGCGAGGAACCUUACCCGGGUUUAAAUGGGAAAUGUCGUAUUUGGAAACAGAUAUUCUCUUCGGAGCGUUUUUCAAGGUGCUGCAUGGUUGUCGUCAGCUCGUGCCGUGAGGUGUCGGGUUAAGUCCCAUAACGAGCGCAACCCUUAUCGUUAGUUACUAACAGGUAAUGCUGAGGACUCUAACGGGACUGCCAUCGUAAGAUGAGAGGAAGGCGGGGAUGACGUCAAAUCAGCACGGCCCUUACACCCGGGGCUACACACGUGUUACAAUGGCCGGUACAGAGGGCCGCUACCAGGUGACUGGAUGCCAAUCUCAAAAGCCGGUCGUAGUUCGGAUUG
rnacentral:rRNA from 1 species